GGGUGUCAUUGUCAAUUCAAAUUUAAGAAUAAAAAUGCUUGAACGAAACAUAUUUAUAUAAAGAAUAAUGAGUAAAAUUACCUCUUCUAGACAAUAAUAUGUAACAAUGCAGAGUUGAACUUGAGUCUAAGAGGCAUACACUUAGUGUGUUCAUAUUCAGAAUGCUCCUUGCUUUUAAAACAGAGUAACAACUAUGCCUGUAAUUUAUCAGCCUGCAAAAACACUUUAUUUAUUAAUUUUAUAUAACUAAAAUAUCAACUUAUCAACAAUUAUCAACAAUAGAUAAAUGUUCUAAGUUUUUACAUGUGUUCUUUUUUCCAUCCUUCUUUUGUGAUUGGUCUAUGUCUCUCUAUCUUCUCUCGUUUAUUACACUACAUUCAAUUAGCUUCCACAGACGAACAUUCCAUGAUAUAAACACCAAGAUACAAAUGAUAAUAACGAAUUCAGUAUCAAAAUGAGAUUAUGCCUUGAUUUCAAUAACAAAACUUUAAGUUAUAUGUGACGAAUGUACCUUCUUAUUGUGUAAUUAUUCACCUGGUACAUGACUUUCCAUGUGCCUUGUACAUGCAAAUCAUUUAUCAUGGUUCAUGUGCUUGCUCCUACAAUGGCAAGCAAAACAAUAAACCUUACUAUCUAACUCGAACUCUAUAAUUUCCCUAAUGCAAAGUACACUCCAAUUAAUGAUCAGUAUUAAUGAUGUUAUACUCGUAAUCAUAAAAAUGUUAAAUAUCAGAUGUUUAAACUAUUGCUAAAGAUCUUUAAAGACUUACUUCAUCAGUACCCUCCUUAUCAUCAUCAUCAUUGACUUCAGACGUAUAUUUGUCACAGUCAUUGUCUUCCCCACCAGCAUCCUAGAUUUAUUACAAAUUGCAGAAUAUUAAAAUCAUGUAAUUUUAAUACAACAUAUGAAAGAAUAAACAGCAAUCACCUUCUUUUUGUAGUAUGCAUCAAGAGUUUUUUUUUCAUAUUCUUUCUUUUAUCAGCUUUAGCAACGUAUGCUUCCUUUUCCAGUACUUUUUACACAAAUUGUAAUCAAAAUUUACAUGAUUUAGAAACUUAUUUCUCGAAUUAAAUCUAAAGAUGUGUGACUUGCAGAAUCAGGUCUUUCUAUCCGUUUUGCUCCACCAGCUUUCCCAACCUGUUAAUAGUAUUUGACAGUCAGAUCAAUAUCAGUAAAUCGGAUAUUAUUUCUAUUAUUUCUAUUUUCCCCAUAUGUUAUGCCAUAAACAACAUAGAAUAAAUUUUUAUACACUUUAGUUGCAACAAAACCAUAUAAUAUAAAUCCAAAAACACCAUCAUGGCAAAACAUAAACAAUUGUCUGUAAACAUCUGGAAUAUGCAACAAAACCAUAUAACAUAAAUACAAAACACUAUCAUGGAAAAAC
rnacentral:lncRNA from 1 species